UCCUGACUGACCGAUAGUGAACCAGUACCGUGAGGGAAAGGCGAAAAGAACCCCGGCGAGGGGAGUGAAAAAGAACCUGAAACCGUGUACGUACAAGCAGUGGGAGCACGCUUAGGCGUGUGACUGCGUACCUUUUGUAUAAUGGGUCAGCGACUUAUAUUCUGUAGCAAGGUUAACCGAAUAGGGGAGCCGAAGGGAAACCGAGUCUUAACUGGGCGUUAAGUUGCAGGGUAUAGACCCGAAACCCGGUGAUCUAGCCAUGGGCAGGUUGAAGGUUGGGUAACACUAACUGGAGGACCGAACCGACUAAUGUUGAAAAAU
rnacentral:rRNA from 2 species